AUAUUUAGAGAUUAAUGUAAGUCAUAAAUGUCGCCUAUCUCAAGUUUAAAUUGAGCACUUUCCUAUCUAUUGAGUUUUGGUACACGAUUUUUCUUGGGUUAACUUCAAACGCCCAUUUCUCUUAGAAUAAAGCAUGUUAUGUGGCUCAAUAAAUAUGAGUCAUAUUUCCAAUGCAACUGACUAUUUGUCAAUCUGAGAGUUCAAAGUAAAAAGUUAUAAGUGUUUUAGUAAAACACUAUUGAAGGUCCACA
rnacentral:lncRNA from 1 species